GACGAACGCUGGCGGCGUGCCUAAUACAUGCAAGUCGAACGCUGAAGCCGGAUUUUGCUUCUCUGCAUGAGUUGCGAACGGGUGAGUAACGCGUAUGUACCCUGCCUGGUAGUGGGGGAUAACUAUUGGAAACGAUAGCUAAUACCGCAUAAGAGCAGAUGUUGCAUGACAUUUUCUUAAAAGUUGCAAUUGCAUCACUACCACAUGGACCUGCGUUGUAUUAGCUAGUUGGUGGGGUACCGGCUCACUAAGGCGACGAUACAUAGCCGACCUGAGUGGGUGAUCGGCCACCCGGGGACUGAGACAGGGCCCAGAGGCCUACGGGAGGGAGCAGUAGGGAAUCGUCGGCAACAGACGGGAGUCUGACCGAACAGCGCCGCGCGAGUGGAGAAGGUUUUCGGAUCGUAAAGAUCUGUUGUAAGAGAAGAACGAGUGUGAGAGUGGAAAGAUCACACUGUGACGGUAGCUUAUAAGGAAGCAACGGCUAACUACGUG
rnacentral:rRNA from 1 species